rnacentral:rRNA from 1 species
CGGCGAGUGAAGCGGCAAUAGCUCAAAUUUGAAAGCUGGCGUCUUCGACGUCCGCGUUGUAAUUUGUAGAGGAUGCUUCGGCGAGGACUCCUGCCUAAGUCCCCUGGAACGGGGCGUCACAGAGGGUGAGAAUCCCGUAUGUGGCGGGCGGUCCGAGCCAUGUGAAGCUCCUUCGACGAGUCGAGUUGUUUGGGAAUGCAGCUCUAAAUGGGAGGUAAAUUUCUUCUAAAGCUAAAUAUUGGCCAGAGACCGAUAGCGCACAAGUAGAGUGAUCGAAAGAUGAAAAGCACUUUGGAAAGAGAGUUAAAAAGUACGUGAAAUUGUUGAAAGGGAAGCGCUUGCAACCAGACUCGCUCGCAGUUGCUCAGCCGGCCUCUUGGCCGGUGUACUCUUCUGCGAUCGGGCCAGCAUCAGUUCGGGCGGCCGGAUAAAGGUGUCGGGAAUGUAGCACCCUUCGGGGUGUGUUAUAGCCCGGCGCGGAAUGCGGCCAGCCUGGACUGAGGAUCUCGCAAGGAUGCUGGCGUAAUGGUUGUAAGCGGCCCGUCUUGAAACACGGACCAAGGAGUCUAACAUCUAUGCGAGUGUUUGGGUGUCAAACCCAUGCGCGUAAUGAAAGUGAACGGAGGUGGGAACCCCUCACGGGGUGCACCAUCGACCGAUCCUGAUGUCUUCGGAUGGAUUUGAGUAAGAGCAUAGCUGUUGGGACCCGAAAGAUGGUGAACUAUGCCUGAAUAGGGUGAAGCCAGAGGAAACUCUGGUGGAGGCUCGCAGCGGUUCUGACGUGCAAAUCGAUCGUCAAAUUUGGGUAUAGGGGCGAAAG